GCCUAUUGAUCCAUAUUGUAAGUCUAUGGAAUGCAAUCCAAUCCAUAUACUUAUAAAUAACCCUGACAAGUUCUUGGAUAAAUAUGGUAAUUUAUUUGGGUUUCAAAUAUAUGGGACAGGUUUAGACCCUGGGACAAUAUUGUUUAUAGGGAUAGAGACUGAUACGGUAACCUCCCAAACUCAUCAAGUAUACCAUUCCUUUUAUGAAGAGAUGAGCAUAGAUAAUAAGAUCCCCCAUAAUGCUAAAAACUUGUUCAUUGAUUUAGCCGAGAGUAUUGCCGGUAGUCUUAAUGUUACCAACUGCUAUGUGUGUGGAGGUACUAAC